AAACUUGAGAGUUUGAUCAUGGCUCAGAACGUACGCUGGCGGCACGCCUAACACAUGCAAGUCGAACGAAGUAGCAAUACUUAGUGGCAGACGGGUGAGUAACAUGUAGGUAUCUGCCCUUUGGCCUGGAAUAACACGAGGAAACUUGUGCUAAUACCGGAUAAGUCUUUACGGAGAAAGCUUUAUGCACCAUUGGAUGAGCCUGCACUUGAUUAGUUUGUUGGUGGGGUAAUGGCCUACCAAGACUGUGAUCAAUAGCUGAUUUGAGAGGAUGAUCAGCCACAUUGGGACUGAGACACGGCCCAAACUCCUACGGGAGGCAGCAGUGGGGAAUCUUGCACAAUGGAGGAAACUCUGAUGCAGCGAUGCCGCGUGAGUGAAGAAGGCCCUUGGGUUGUAAAGCUCUUUCGUCGGGGAAGAAAAUGACUGUACCCGAAUAAGAAGGUCCGGCUAACUUCGUGCCAGCAGCCGCGGUAAUACGAAGGGACCUAGCGUAGUUCGGAAUUACUGGGCUUAAAGAGUUCGUAGGUGGUUGAAAAAGUUGGUGGUGAAAUCCCAGAGCUUAACUCUGGAACUGCCAUCAAAACUUUUCAGCUAGAGUAUGAUAGAGGAAAGCAGAAUUUCUAGUGUAGAGGUGAAAUUCGUAGAUAUUAGAAAGAAUACCAAUUGCGAAGGCAGCUUUCUGGAUCAUUACUGACACUGAGGAACGAAAGCAUGGGUAGCGAAGAGGAUUAGAUACCCUCGUAGUCCAUGCCGUAAACGAUGUGUGUUAGACGUUGGAAAUUUAUUUUCAGUGUCGCAGCGAAAGCGAUAAACACACCGCCUGGGGAGUACGACCGCAAGGUUAAAACUCAAAUGAAUUGACGGGGACCCGCACAAGUAGUGGAGCAUGUGGUUUAAUUCGAAGAUACGCGCAGAACCUUACCAACACUUGACAUGUUCGUCGCGACUCUAAGAGAUUAGAGUUUUCGGUUCGGCCGGACGAAACACAGGUGCUGCAUGGCUGUCGUCAGCUCGUGUCGUGAGAUGUUGGGUUAAGUCCCGCAACGAGCGCAACCCUCACUUUUAGUUGCCAUCAUUAAGUUGGGCACUCUGAAAGAACUGCCAGUGAUAAGCUGGAGGAAGGUGGGGAUGACGUCAAGUCCUCAUGGCCCUUACGUGUUGGGCUACACACGUGCUACAAUGGUAUCUACAACAGGAAGCAAGACGGCGACGUUAAGCAAAUCCUUAAAAGAUACCUCAGUUCGGAUUGCACUCUGCAACUCGAGUGCAUGAAGCUGGAAUUACUAGUAAUCGUGGAUCAGCGUGCCACGGUGAAUGCGUUCCCGGGUCUUGUACACACCGCCCGUCACACCAUGGGAGUUGGUUCUACCUUAAGGCAAGGUUUAAUAUCCUUGACCACGGUAUAGUCAGCGACUGGGGUGAAGUCGUAACAAGGUAGCCGUAGGGGAACCUGCGGCUGGAUUACCUCCUUU
rnacentral:rRNA from 1 species